GGAGAAGAAGAAGAACUGGAUCAGAACCGAGACGCUCUGGUCUUGGUUUGAGGCGGAAUGCCUCAAACCAAGGAAAAUCUGGAAACGCUUUGUGACAGGAACCGCAGAGGCAGCUCUGACCCGGGACUGUGAGCAGGAAGUGAACAGGAAGUGAACAGGAAGUGAGCAGGAAGAGAGCGAGCCGCUGGAGGAAACAGUCGGCAAACGGAAGCAGAAGUGAAAAUUAUUUCUUUACGUCUCAAAAUAAAUCUGCUUUGGUGUUUUAAGACCUGCAGCCGCACAGAGAAACUUCUCCACUUGCUUCCUGAAGAGCUGCAGCUUCUGCUCAUUUCUGCGUUUCCUCCAGUUGCUGCCGUUCCUCUGGACAAUGCUCCGCUUUCACAGCAGGGAGCUGCUGCAGCUUUGAACCGCCCACUGCAUUUCUCUCCAAGACUGCGGGGCGAUCCGCGGCGGCUCAGGGUUUAUUUUUAGCCGGGCGGGAAGCGGGCCGCUCCCAACCCGCUGCACGAAGCUACAGGCUGACCGCCGCGGCGCGGGGGAAGAAAUGUUUCCAAUUAGUCUGAGACGGACGAUCAAGAAACCAGAAGGAGCCGAGAGGAAUGACAGAAUAACCAACGCUCGUUUCCAUCAUGGCCGCCUGCGGCAUCGUCAUGGAAACGAUUAUGGCUGAAAGGAAGAAAACUAAAACCUGGAACAAAAACAUGAA